rnacentral:lncRNA from 1 species
AACAGUCUAAAAACAUAAAUUCAUUCUUCUGAUAAUUUUUUAAGUGAUCUGUAUAGAAGCAAAUGGAUCAUUUUCAUUUCCACUUUUGAAAGCUUAAAUUCAUUUCCAAAUGAUUCCAUUUCUCUUUUUCGGAGAAAACAAUAAUUAUUUCUGAAUGUUUCCCAUUUCUCCAUUUCAAAGAAAACAAUAAUCAUUCUUGAAUGUUCCCUGUACAAGCCCAAAUAUGCCCGGGCCCAAACCCAAAAAAACUUGGGCCAAGUUAAACCCAAUUACAUGGCCCAAUUGACCUAAAACAGCAGAAACCCUAGCAGCAAUUAGCAGUGCCACAUGCCCCACGUUCGGCAGCCUCCACACCAUCCCACGUUCAACACUCCGCGCACGCCACACGCUUGUACCUGUAACAACCACAAACUGUAAAGGGUGGAAAAGAGGUUUUCGGGGGUUUUUCUUUUCGUUAUUUUGGCUAUUUAAAGUCAAAUCGAAUCUGUAAUAGGGGUUAAAAAAUUUUGUACUAAAAAACUGAAAGAAGGAAAAUACAAGAGAAAAAAAGCAAGGAUUUUAAAGGUACAUAUUUUGUUCUUUUUCUUUCGGUUCUUCUACUGUCUUGGUUUUCUUUUGUUUUCCUUUUAUUUCUAAAAAAAAUAAACGAAGAGGGGAAGAAAAGGAAGACUUACCGUUCUGAAUCGUCGGAGGGAGUCCCUGAUUCAGCGACUUCUGAUCGGAAAUGGAAAGGAUUUGGAGCAGAAGAGAAAGGAGGCUGCGGCGCAAAUCUUCAAAUGGCAGAAGGGAAUUGAUUUUAGGGUUCAAAAUGGGCCAUUUGCACUAUUGGUCCUUUGUUUUUUUUGGGUGAUUAAAUCAGUUUUUUUAUAUUUUUAAAUUAGGCAAUAUAUUUUAAUGCUGUUUUAGUCCAAUCCAUGUUGCUGCGCGGUGCUUGAGCGAUUUGGAUAAUUUCUCUUUUGAUCCUCCUGUUACGCGUGAUUUAAUUUGCUCCUUUUCUCAUUUUCAAUUUUCGAAUUCAGCCUUUAAAUUCUAUUUAUUUUCAACUUAAUCCUUAAUUUGUUAUGUUAAGUUUUUUUAAAUAUAUUAUUAGUAUUGUUUAUUUGUAUCAUUAUCACUGUAUUAUUAUAAGUACUUUCUAUUUUUAUUAUUGUUAUUAUUAUUAUUAUUAUUAUUUCAAUAUAUAUAUACGCAUAGAUAUUAUAUAA